AAAAAAAAGAAAAACCAGAUUCGGGGAUUCAAAAGGGAUUUCAAAAUUCCCCCAAAUUGCCCCCAUAUGUAUACACACGGCGAGAGGGGGAGACUGUGAAGGAGCUCAAAGGAGUGUUUGGAGUUCAAAGGACGAACGGCGGCGAACCACGACGAAGGACGGAGGACGAUGAACCACGAUGGAGGACGAACGGGGAGCCUGCGACAGCGAAUCGAGAAUAAAAAAUGGCUUCAUCUUCUAUUGAUAAUACGAACUUAAGAUUGAAGCCAAGGUUUUGUAAUUGUGGAAGAAUAGCUUCCGUGCGUAUUGUACAAACCAAUGCGAAUGGAAAUGAAGGUCGUGUAUAUUUUGUUUGCCCAAGAAAAUAUACUUCGAACAACCACUGCAAUUACUUCAAGUGGUUCACAAAUGACGACGACGACGACG